ACGGGAGGCAGCAGUAGGGAAUAUUGCACAAUGGGGGGAACCCUGAUGCAGCAACGCCACGUGUGGGAAGAAGCAUUUCGGUGUGUAAACCACUGUCGUGAGGGAAUAAGGCUGGAGUUGUCCAGUUGAAUGUACCUCGAAAGGAAGCACCGGCAAACUUCGUGCCAGCAGCCGCGGUAAUACGAGGUGUGCAAGCGUUGUUCGGAAUCACUGGGCGUAAAGGGAGCGCAGGCGGAGAAGCAAGCGGUCUGUACAAUACCGGGGCCCAACCCCGGACCUGCAGACCGGACUGCUCCUCUUGGUUAGCUCAGGGGCUGGCGGAAUUCCUGGUGUAGCGGUGGAAUGCGUAGAGAUCAGGAAGAACACCGAUGGCGAAGGCAGCCAGCUGGGGGCUUAUCGACGCUCAUGCUCGAAAGUGCGGGUAGCAAACAGGAUUAGAUACCCUGGUC
rnacentral:rRNA from 1 species